rnacentral:rRNA from 1 species
AGUGAACGCUGGCGGUAUGCCUAACACAUGCAAGUCGAACGGCAGCACAGUAAGAUCUUGCUCUUACGGGUGGCGAGUGGCGGACGGGUGAGGCAUACAUCGGAAUCUACUUUUUCGUGGGGGAUAACGUAGGGAAACUUACGCUAAUACCGCAUACGACCUACGGGUGAAAGCAGGGGAUCUUCGGACCUUGCGCGAUUGAAUGAGCUGAUGUCGCAUUAGCUAGUUGGCGGGGUAAAGGCCCACCAAGGCGACGAUCCGUAGCUGGUCUGAGAGGAUGAUCGGCCACACUGGAACUGAGACACGGUCCAGACUCCUACGGGAGGCAGCAGUGGGGAAUAUUGGGCAAUGGGCGCAAGCCUGAUCCAGCCAUACCGCGUGGGUGAAGAAGGCCUUCGGGUUGUAAAGCCCUUUUGUUGGGAAAGAAAAGCAGCAGAUUAAUACCCCGCUGUUCUGACGGUACCCAAAGAAUAAGCACCGGCUAACUACGUG